rnacentral:rRNA from 1 species
AGAAUCAACGCUGGCGGCGUGCCUAACACAUGCAAGUCGAACGAGAAAAGGGUAGCAAUACCCUGAGUAAAGUAGCGCACGGGUGAGUAACACGUGACUAACCUACCCUUGAGUGGGGGAUAACUGAGGGAAACCUUAGCUAAUACCGCAUAAUACCCACGGGUCAAAGGAGCAAUUCGCUCGAGGAGGGGGUCGCGGCCGAUUAGUUAGUUGGCGGGGUAAUGGCCCACCAAGACGAUGAUCGGUAU